rnacentral:rRNA from 1 species
GACGAACGCUGGCGGCGUGCUUAACACAUGCAAGUCGAACGGUAAGGCCCUUCGGGGUACACGAGUGGCGAACGGGUGAGUAACACGUGGGUGAUCUGCCCUGCACUUCGGGAUAAGCCUGGGAAACUGGGUCUAGUACCGGCUAGGACCAAUGCCCGCAUGGGUGGUGGUGGAAAGCUUUUGCGGUGUGGGAUGGGCCCGCGGCCUAUCAGCUUGUUGGUGGGGUGAUGGCCUACCAAGGCGACGACGGGUAGCCGGCCUGAGAGGGUGACCGGCCACACUGGGACUGAGAUACGGCCCAGACUCCUACGGGAGGCAGCAGUGGGGAAUAUUGCACAAUGGGCGCAAGCCUGAUGCAGCGACGCCGCGUGAGGGAUGACGGCCUCCGGGUUGUAAACCUCUUUCAGCACCGACGAAGCGCAAGUGACGGUAGGUGCAGAAGAAGGACCGGCCAACUACGUGCCAGCCGCCGCAGUAA